rnacentral:lncRNA from 1 species
AACCAUUAUAAAAUCAUUUUAAAACGCAGUGUUACUUAAGUCAUUAUGGAAUAUGAGAUGGUAGAGUAUGAGUUUCUUAUUCUUGAUAUCAUUGUUGCAUGGAAAAUUUAUCUUCAAAAUUCUAGCUACCAUCCUCAGUGUUUUAUAUGCCUGAUAAAACUGAAAAUAUUAAUUAUGAUUAUAAAGGCUAUCUACUCUGUAUUGAGUUUGUUCAAAAUGAGUUAGACCUUUGUUGAGAGAUUUAUCAUGCUCCUAAGAUCAAGACAUUUAUUCAGAAAGAUUCACUCUUCCGAAGUAUUAUUGCAUUAGAGGCAUGGGCUAUGCAAAAAUAAAGAUAUUUCGAGGAAAUAAAAAGGGGCAAGUGCUCGAUAACCUCGUAGAAAAAAAUGGACAAGUGUCCGGCAGUAGAAUUAGGGGUAUCUCGGUAUCCAUUUAAAAAAAAGAAAGGAAAAGAAAGAAAAUGAUAGCCCAUGGUCCCUCUAAUAAGCAAUAUGCCAACAAGAGUUGACAAAGAUUUUAAUUUCCAAAGUCUUUGAUCUAAGAGUAUGACAUUCUUCUCCUCGGAUCCCGUUUUGAUCAGGCAAUAAACGCAAAGUAAGUAUGCUUAAGAAUUUUGCAAAUUAAAACAGCCUCAGUGAGAUAUGUAAAAGAUAAUGAGUGACCUGAGAGAACCUAUGAGGAUAAAAGGUAUGCUAAAUUUCUUUUCAAAAAAAUACAAAAACUCCAAGUGACAGGAUUGAGAAGGAAGGAUCUCUACUCUUAACCAUAUACUUCCCUGACUAUAGUACACAGUGGAUUUUAAUACCCUGCAAAUAUGAAGAGAAUGUUUUACCC